rnacentral:rRNA from 1 species
UACGUAGGGGGCAAGCGUUAUCCGGAUUUACUGGGUGUAAAGGGAGCGUAGACGGCCAGACAAGUCAGAAGUGAAAGCCCAGGGCUCAACCCUGGGACUGCUUUUGAAACUGCCGGGCUGGAGUUGGAGAGAAGUACGCGGAAUGCGCGGUGUAGCGGUGAAAUGCUUAGAUAUCGCGCAGAACCCCGAUUGCGAAGGCAGCGUACCGGCUCCACACUGACGCUGAGGCACGAAAGCGUGGGUAUCGAACAGG